rnacentral:tRNA from 1 species
AGGGAUAUAGUUCAGUGAUGCAACUCAUGCCUGGCAAGCAUCAGGCCCUGAGUUUGAGUCCCAGUACCCUCC